AUUGCAGGCUGCAACCCGCCCUGCAUGAAGUCGGAAUUGCUAGUAAUCGCGGAUCAGCAUGCCGCGGUGAAUACGUUCCCGGGCCUUGUACACACCGCCCGUCACACCAUGGGAGUCGGAAAUGCCCGAAGUCUGUGACCCAACCUACGGGAGGGAGCAGCCGAAGGCAGGUCGGAUGACUGGGGUGAAGUCGUAACAAGGUAGC
rnacentral:rRNA from 1 species